rnacentral:lncRNA from 1 species
CGGUGGUGGUGGCGGAGGCGAAGGAGGAGGAGGCGAGGGCGGUGGUGGGGGAGGUGAAAAAACUGGUGGGGGAGGGGGAGGUGGAGAGAAAACGGGUGGUGGAGGUGAAGGAGGGGGAGGGGGAGGGAGAGGGGGAGAGGAUAUAGGGGGUGGAGGUGGUGGUAGUGAUGGUGGUGGCAAAGCAACAGGGGGAGAAGGCACCGGAAUUGGCGGAGACGGCGGAGGAGGGGAAGGUAAAGAAGGAACAAAAGGAGCACAUUUAAAUGAAUUGCAGUCCACUGGCCUAGACAAGAAAGACUUACAUUGCGCCGCGCUUCUUUGCAAAGGUCUCGCAGGCAAGCAAUUUCUUCUAUCAUCAAAUGCACGUAAGUUCAAGCAAACCG